CUUCAACAUGGCCCAUUAAAAUCUAGAAAGUAUAAUUUUAAAUCGUAAAAAAACCCUGCUGUCAACAAUAGGCUAAAGCAGACAUCCAUAGACCGGACAUGAAGAGGGUUAAAACGGAG